rnacentral:lncRNA from 1 species
GCUAUCCCUGCAGAUGUUGGAUGAUUUCCUAAGCCAGUCUCCCACCUGUAACCGCUCGGGUGAUUUCCAGCAGCACACAGCUGGCACACAGAGCCAUGCUGACCACGGCAGGGUGCAGCUCCUUGUUGCAGUCCCGUAGCGGUGGGUGGCCGUGCCAAAGGGGGAUCCCACCGCUGCUGCUCUCCAUCCUUCUGCGCUCGUUCUGCACCACCGUGCAUUCUUUCCUCCUCGUGCUGCGCUGCCCUCAGAGUGCUGUGCCCAUUUCUCGGGGUCGUUGCAGCAGCUGCUGCAAGUGCUGAUGUUGGAGCAGUUUCUUCCCCACCGCGAGAUCCUUUCCAAGAGGCACUGCCCCUACUGCUGCAACGGCCCCAGUCUGGGACGCCCUUUUGUAAGGAGUUGUGUUGUUCAUUCUGCAGCUGACUUGGAUUUCUUCUGCCACUGUCCCGUGAAGGAGUUGAUUUGCUUCAGUCCAUCCCUGCUCCGUUCCUGGUUCAAGCCAAGCUCCAGUCCCUUCCCUGGUCUCAGUGGGAUCAGUUUGUUCUGUUCUCAUGCACUUACAGAAACAGAAGCUACCAACCCACCAAACCCUGGGACAGGUAUUUCCCUACAGAAGCAUUCAUGUCCUUCUCCUGGCCCCUUUGGCCAGCUCCCAGCUCUCCAAACUGAGGCGUACGGCUGCAGCCCACCCCAUGGCUUCUCUGGGGCAGCUGUGGGGCAGCCCCACCCUGAGGAGGAGAUGCCUUUUCCUAGCAUGCAGCUGGUUCUAUGGCCACAUGGGGUGAGGACGUGGG